AUCGAGGGGGAGGACGAAGGCUCUCUGUUGAAUAGGGGUGGAUCUCUCAAAGAACCAAAGAAACCAUUCUUAAUCUCUUCAGCUGCUUCAAAGAACCCCUUCAUGCUACCAAAGAGACUCUGCUCAAUGGCAUCAAUAUCACUACGGAGCCCAGGGAAAUCAAAUGGAUGAUGUUCUGACGAUCCCAAUGAGAAUGACCUAUUGAUCAUCUGAUCCGUUACAUCCUCUUCCGUAAAUUCCUUGUUGGACUGUAUCACUUCGACCGGCCUUCCAAUGCAGUCUCUGAGAAUCUCCUCGGUUCUCUCGCACUUCCUGACGAAUUUUCCGGGCUCAACCUCCUCGGUCUUGCACUGCGACUUCACCACUUUUCUGGUGAAACACCGAUCGGCGGAGGACGGAGGGCUGGAAUAAUUGAACUUAGCGCCAUCGCCGGCGGAUGAAUCUAAAUCGCCGGUCUCAUCUCUCCAGGCCCAUCCCAUUUUCAAAGCUCGAGAUCGCGAACCUUCUUCCCCUCUA
rnacentral:misc_RNA from 1 species